UUGGGAGCUCACUGGCUUCGGAGUCGUAGGAACUCCGAAGUUAAGCGAGUUGGGGGCUAAAGCAAUCCCAGGAUGGGUGACCCACUGGGAAGUUGCUCGUGAGCUCCCAGA
rnacentral:rRNA from 1 species